UAUCAUACUCACUUUCGUAAUCUAUAAAGUAGAGAGUAAUUAUGAACAUUAGUCAUAUCAACUAUAAAUGUUAUUAAUAGAUAACUAGGUGCAUGCAUCAUGAUUAAUUCCAUGUUUUGUUUUGUCUUAAAAUUAGACACAUCGUUUAUAUCGAUGCAUCAUGCACUCAUUGAUUAAACUAAGGAUUCGGCUGUCACUUGCAAAGAGAAACACAUCCUUCCAAGUACAUGGUACUUUAUCU
rnacentral:lncRNA from 1 species